rnacentral:misc_RNA from 1 species
UUCACCCCAUAGCUCUGUCACCUCCACAUACUUCCCCCCAAUAGCAGCAUAGCCUGUUACCAUAGAAUGAAAAGUCUGAGCAUUUGGAGCAUGCCCCAGGAUCCUCAUCUUCUUCAAAGCCUUCUCUGCAUCUUUCAUCAAUUUCUUUCUACAGAAAAAAUGGAUUACAUUAUUCCAGUCAUGAACUCCAGAGUCCAAUGUCUGCCCAUCCUCGAUUUCCCGCAAGAGCUUUGUCAUCAACCCUGUUUCAC